UUUUUAAUUUUUUGAUUUACAUUGAGAAAAAAAACAAUUGAAGAUAGCUCUUUCUCUCUCUUUCUAUAUUUCUUUCUCUCUUAUACUGGUGGUCGUCUCUGGAACCUCCUAGAAGAUUUUUUUUUGUGAUUUGUUGGUGAAAUUAUUGUUUGAUCUGAAUUAGGGUUUUUUGCGGAAAUUUUGGGUGAAGUUAAUUGAGUUUAUUUUUUAUUAGAAAAACUUGUGUAAUUGUAACAUGUCGAUAUGGGCAAUAUAUGUAUUGCAAACAGGGUAGUGGUUAUCUAAGGGAUGUCGGAUUUGCGGAUUUCCGAGCUAGAAGAUAUUGUGUGGGAAUUUGGUGAGAAUGAUGACCAUAUAGUGCCUCAUCCUGAGUGCAAAAAGAGUGGAUUUUCAGUUGAGAGUAGCAGUAGUAAGAGACCACGACUUGAACUAAGAUGUUCUGAAAGUAACAUAGACAACAGAAUUGUUUCUGAUAAUGUUCUUCAAAGAAAGGAGGGACCGAGGUGCGUUGGUGUGAAAGAAGAACAGGAAAAAAUGUUGCGUAAGAGUACAUGGACCCACUCAUCUAGUGGAGGUUUUUCUGCUUCACUUGAUGGGAAUAAUAGAAAAAAUUCAUGUUCCACAUUUGAUGAAGAGAGGACCUUUGACCACUGUAUGAGAAGUAGUGAUAUGGAUCCGUCAGGUGAUGGAUUAUGUGCUGAUGAUUCUAUACUUGACAAUCGGACAGCUUCUAUGGACAAUAACUUGUUUCAGUAUCAGCUAAACAAUGCAACUCAAACAGAAAGUGAUCUUGGGUUUUUCGGUAAUGAUCUUGAUGACAAAGAGAGCACUGAUCUAUUGUUUUAUGGGUGGUCUGAGAUAGAAAAUUUUGAGGAUGUUGACAGGAUGUUCAGAAGCUGUGAUUCAACCUUUGGUCUAGAUAUGGGCCAUAAUGAUGAACUGGGCUGGUUUUCAUCUUCCCAUGUAAUUGAGGGAUCUAAUGAUGCAACAAAGCCAAGCCUAAACUUCUCUGGCUGUGGUAUAAGUGACCUAGAUGGCGUAACUGAGCAGCAAGAAGUUUAUGGGCUGGACAAUAAUGGGUUAGUUACUGAUGGAAGUAAUAAGACGCUUACGCCGGUCAACUGCAAGCGAGGUUCGCAGAAGUUGACUACAAAUGGCCCUUCUACUGUCAUGAAUACCUCUUAUGUGGAUGGAUCUUGGGGUGUUUCUGGAAAUGAUAAUGAAUCGCAGAUCCUCUCACAUGUCAGCGAGUCAAAGCACCAGAAGCCGUCAGAAGGAAAAAGAAAAGAGCCCCCAUCAGAAAAUGGUGUCUCUUUCAUUCAUUUUGACAACUUAAACCAAGCAGCAGAAUCAAAUCAUUUGUUAAAUUUCCAAUGCAGUUCUUCAUCUGACAAUCAUCAACCGCAAGAAGCUUCUCAUAGCAGUUGUGUACAGACGUCAAAUCCCUUGAUAAAGCUCAACAACAGUCAUUCUUCUAAUCAACUUUUACCAAGCAUGUCAUCUAUAAUUAAGUCCGAAGACAGUGGUCUUCCUUCAAUAUCCCCAAUGGAUUCUUCAUAUGCAUCAACCUUGAUCCAAUCAGUUGAGAACACUCAUGAUUUUUCUCUCCAGAAGAUUCCUGUUUCCAGGAACAAGAAGAAAGAGAGGCAACAUCAACGUAGAAUAUCUGAAUUUCCUAAGAAAGACUUAACGGUUCAAAGAGCUGAUCUUGAUCCAGUUUGUCCUCAGAAGCUUUCUGAUUUUGAAAAUAAAGUUGAAGGGCAGAGUGACAUCGAUGGUGAUGUUGGUGUUGCAGCAGAGCUUGACUGUUCUAACAUACAAGAAAGUUCUUGCAUGAGCUCAGUCUUGGAUGAAGUAUCAAUUGAUGCAAGUAGUUUUCAGCAACUACAAAAUGUCAUGGAAAAGCUAGAUUUAAGGACGAAAUUGUGCAUAAGAGACAGUCUCUAUCGAUUAGCCAGGAGUGCAGAGCGGAGGCAUAAAUGUGACAACCCUAGUAGUGGCGACAAAGAUGAGAAAGAUACAAGUGGAUCUUUGCUACCUGAUGGAUCGAAUAAGUGCACAGGGUUUAUGGAUAUGGAAACUGAUACGAAUCCCAUUGAUCGGUCAAUAGCGCACUUACUGUUCCAUAGGCCAUCAGACCCUUCUGCAACAGCUCCUUUUGAUACUCUAUCUGUGAAGUCCCACACUAAUAUAGAUCAAGCACAUAAUCAUGGUCCAUCGAUGGCUGAGAAACAGGCAUGUCAAGAAGAAACUACUUCAGUAAAUGGUGAAGCCGCUGAACACUAAUUUUAAAAGUGAUGCGCAAAUUGUCGGUCUUACCUUAUGAGGUUCCAUUAAUUCUGUACCUCAUCUUCUAAAGCAAGUGGCCUUGGUCCUGAACGGCUGAAAGUUCGGCAUACACCCUUGUAAUUCUUCAUGGUGGACAUACUGGACAAACCAUCCCAAGGGCACUGGAGUAGGUCUUGGGUAUUCCACAUUGUAAGCAAAUCCUGAAACACGCCAUCGACUCUUAAAUUUGUCAGCACACUAAAAUCAUACCCCACUAAGUGCACCUGUCGGUGCAACAUAAAGCACAGUAGAGUAAGAUAAGGAGUACCUUGGUUGAGAAGCAUCAUCAGUUGUGGUAGCUGCAGGAGUUUUUGGAGGCUGAGUUGAAGCAGUUGAAGAAGCUUUACCCUCAAUGUCACUCCUUACUCGCUCAUGAAUCCCAACUAAAUUAGGCUUGGCCUCCACCACAGCACCUACAUGAACAAUAACAUCAUAUGAGCCUAUUUAAUUGAAAAAAAGAAAUUCACUGUCAAGUGUCAAGUGUCAAGUGCUGGUUUUAGUGACAUGUAAAGCAAAGGAACCUGAGCUUGCCUUACCGCAGAUUUAGCUCCCAGAUUCUCUUAACAAUUGACAUCUUCACAGGUCAGAUAUUAUAAUAAACAUCAAAUCAGACUUAAA